rnacentral:rRNA from 1 species
UACGUAGGGUGCAAGCGUUAAUCGGAAUUACUGGGCGUAAAGCGUGCGCAGGCGGUUUUGUAAGUCUGACGUGAAAUCCCGGGCUCAACCUGGGAAUUGCGUUGGAGACUGCAAGGCUAGAAUCUGGGCAGAGGGGGUAGAAUUCCACGUGUAGCAGUGAAAUGCGUAGAUAUGUGGAGGAACACCGAUGGCGAAGGCAG